CAAAGCUUUGAAGGCAGUCGAAUGCUACACGUGUGGACGUCUAGGCCAUAUGAAGAGGGAAUGCAGACAUCCCAGGGCCAAGACAGAGCAGCGCAGCGAAAGCUCAUCGCGCGGAAAAGGCCGAGGCAAAGGCAAAGGUCCGGUGUCUAGGACAACGCAGCACAAGGCUAUGGUUUCACGCUUCACUCCAAAGGUUGCAGAGGUCCAGAAGACGUCUAGAUCUUUCUUCGUUGUUGAUUCAGCGGCCACCCACCACAUGUGCAACGAUAAGAAACUGUUUGUGUCUUUUACACCGCAGGAAGGUGCGAUUCACCAGGCGGAUGACCACACUAUUCCCAGUAAAGGCUACGGAACUGUGGUUCUUCACAGUUUGGACUUAUCGAUACAGAAUGUGCUUUACGUGCCAGACGCCAAACAUAAUCUGCUCAGCGUUGGACAGCUGAAUGAGCGGAACAUUGACGUUUCCUUCAAGAACAAGAAGUGCAUCAUCACAAAGAAAAAUGAUUAUGUAUUGCAUGCAGAAUAUGUUGAUCGUUUGUUUGUUUUGUAUUAUGAUGAUGUGGUGCAGGAUGAUACUUGUUGCAUUGCAGGUUCUAACAAAAGUUUGCAUGCAGAAUGUAUUCACGAUUUUCAUCGCAAAUUUGGUCAUUUGCAUUUUGAGGCAGUAUCUAAAAUGCCUGCCUUGGUUGAAGGUAUGACUAUUAAACCCUGCAGGUACCACAUGAAGUGCAAAGCAUGCGCAGCAAACAAAGUGAAAAUGGCUGCGAAAGGUAAGGUGUCUAGUAGGAAAGCUACAGAACCAUACCAGGUUGUUCAUGCUGAUUUGGUUGGUCCACUAUCGCCCUCUUUGGGUGGAAAUAGAUACUUCAUGGUUCUCAUUGAUGCAUUUUCUAGAUAUAUUUUUGUGUACAAUCUCAAGCAGAAAUCGGAGGCUUUUCCUAGGUUCAAGGAAUUCUGUGCUUGGUUGGAAAAUGUGCAUGGUAAGAAGAUAAAGACUCUUUACAGUGAUCGCGGGGGGGAAUUCACUUCUCAGCAGUUUGAAGCUUUUCUGACUGAGAAAGGAAUUCAACACGAUUUGUCUAGUCCUCGCUCGCCAUGGCAGAAUGGACUUGCGGAACGGGCAAAUCAGACAUUGCUUCAAGGAUUAAAAACCUUGCUGCAUGACGCCAAUCUUCCAGAGAGUUAUUGGGCCGAAUCUCUCUCGUGUUUUGUUUACAGUUACAAUCGCAGAUUAUCUUCAGCGAUUGGUUGUACCCCCUAUGAGAAGAUGUUUGGCAAGAAGCCAUACAUCAAACACAUGAAGAUUUUUGGUUCUGACAUGUGGGUUCGCUCACCACAAAACUCCAAGUUAGACAAGCGUGGAUUGCAUGGUAUCUUUCUAGGUUAUCAGAAAGGGUCUUACAGAAUAAUGAUGACUGACUCUAAGACAAUUAAGCUCACGAGAAGUGUUGAGUACAAUGCAAAGUGGGGGGGAGAAUGUGGGAAUUUUCCAAUGUUAUCCUGAUGACGGUGAUGAGACUGAGAAUAGUCAAAAGCAACCACAACAGCCCACACCCACUGAUGAAGGUUCUGAGUCUGAAUCUGAAACUGAAUCGGGUGAUUCAGAGGAUUUCAAGAGUGCGAAAGCCUCUAUGCGACCCUCUGAAAGCUCUGAUCAAGAAUUGGAGGAACCAUUGUUCACAAUAGGUCGUUUUUCUCCUAAGAAGGAAGAGGAGAGUGUUGAAGACUUAAGGCUAAUUCGUAGGUCACAGAGAGCCACAAAAGGCAAACCUCCAAAGAGAUUUGCUGAUGAGUUUGCUAAGAUAGCAGUAACAGCUGUUAAAAGCUCCAAGAAGGUAUUUGAACCUUCAAGUUUCCAAGAAAUCCAGGGUUUGGAUUCGAAGGAAGCUGAGCCAUGGUUAAAUGCCAUGAAGGCUGAGCUUGAUUCCUUAGAAAGGAACAAAACAUGGGAGCUAGUUCCAGUAGUUCCAGGAAUGAAACUGCUUGGAAGCAAAUGGGUCUUCAAAGCGAAGACAGAUCAAAAUGGCAAGAUAGUCAGACACAAAGCCAGAUUGGUAGCCAGAGGUUUUGCACAGGUACCAGGUGAAGACUAUCACGAGACCUAUUCACCCACAGUGAGAUAUGAAAGCAUUAGGCUUAUGCUUAAGCUAGCUGCAGAGGAAAAUCUACACAUUAGUCACCAUGAUAUUAAUACAGCUUUUCUGUACGGAUCUCUAGAUGAAUCACUUUAUAUGCUUCCACCUGAUGGCGUACAGGUAAAACAGGGAUUUGUUUGUGCUCUGAAGAAAUCCCUUUAUGGUCUCAAACAAAGUGCACGGUGUUGGCACACAAAACUCACUGAAGUAUUGUUUUCUCUAGGUUUUCAGCAAGGGAAAGCUGAUCCAUGUGUAUUUGUCAAAGAGGAGGGGCAAAAGAAACUGUACUGUUUGUUUUAUGUUGAUGAUUUAUUAUUCUUUUGGAAAGAUGUUGCAAUGUACAAUAGCGCCCUAGCUCAACUGAAAGAGCACUUUGACAUGAAAGAUCUUGGUGAGGUAAACAACUACCUAUCUCUGGAAAUAGAGAGAGAUCAAGAUGGUAACAUUCUAGUACACCAGUCACGGAAAAUUGCUGAUGUGUUAAGCAAACUAAAUCUGAUGGAUGCUAACCCUGUAGACACACCGAUGACAACAGGUUAUCAGGUAGAUGACACUGAAGAAGCAUUUUCUGACACUACACUGUACAGGAGUGUGCUAGGCAAGCUAAACUUCAUUGCCAGAUGUUCAAGACCAGACAUUGCUGUUAGCUGUAAUUUGCUAAGCAGACAAGUCAACAAUCCUAGUGUCAAGGAUUGGAAAGCUCUGAAACGCAUAGCGCGGUAUUUGAAAGGCACUAUGCAUUACAGACUGAGAUUUAACAAUCAGAAGUCUGGUGGUCUUGAGAUAUUUGCAGAUGCAAGUUUUGGAAGUGACACUACAGACAGGAAAAGUACGUCUGGAGUUUGCUACAUGUACAAUCAGAGUCUGUUUGAUUGGUCAUGCAAGAAGCAAACAACAGUUAGCUUAAGUACUUGUGAAGCUGAACUGAAUGCACUGUCUUAUUCACUUAAGGAUUGUGAAUGGUUAGUACAAUUGUGCAAAGAUAUGAAAAUUCCUGUCAAAUGUCCAAUCCAGGUUUACCAGGACAACAAAGCAUGUUUGGCUUUGCUGAAGUCUGAAGGUUGUAAGCAAAGCACAAAGCACUUGCAAUUAAAGUUGCAGCAUGCUAGGGAAUGUAUUCAGAAGGGACUCGUAACGGUGUCCUAUAUGCCAGGUAAUGAAAUUCCUGCUGAUGUAUUGUCCAAGAUUGUAUCAAGGGAUCAACACUGUACCUAUGUGCAGAAGUUGGGUUUGUACUGAUAUUGUGCAAACACGCUGCCCAGUGAUGUUCACAGAAAGGGGGAGGAUGUUGGUUUCUAUUUCCUUCACUGAGCAGCAACUGCAGUCACAAGACAUUGUUUUACAUUCCACAGUCUGUACUGUUGGAGUUUCUCACGGGAAAGGGAGACUGGAUGUGACGUACACUGGUUUCCUGUUUUUCACUCUGUGUGUUUUCUCUCCAAGCUGUCGAGGAGAGUGGAUGCAUUUUCUGCUCCGGCAGGGCAAGAUGUCUUUCUGUAAUAUACCAGCUUUGAACUGUAAAUAAAGCAAUUUAGAGUAUG